rnacentral:lncRNA from 10 species
AUUAUUGCCAUAUGCUUUAAUCUGGUCUACUCUUGAUUUUUUGUCAUCGUUCUCCCAACGUUCCAAGUUUAAAAAUAGUUCAUUAAAAUCAGCCUUCUUGGAUUUUGAUUUGAGAAGGCAGGAAGAGGUCUAAGGAUCAGUUCAGAAGGUGCUUAAGAAAAAUUGUGUGGUGAUCUGGCCAGGCGAGGUGGCUCAUGGCUGUAAUCCCAGCAGUUUGGGAGGCCGAGGAGGGCGGAUCACCUGAGGUCAGCAGUUGAAGACAAACCUGGCCAACAUGGUGAAACCCUGUCUCUACUAAAAAUACAAAAAGUAGCCUGGCAUGGUGGUGGGUGCCUGUAAUCCCAGCUACUCGGGAGGCUGAGGCAGGACAAUCACUUUGCUUGAACCCGGGAGGCAGAGGCUGCAGUGAGCCAAGAUCACGUCAUUGCACUC